rnacentral:rRNA from 1 species
ACUCCUACGGGAGGCAGCAGUGGGGAAUAUUGCACAAUGGGGAAACCCUGAUGCAGCCAUGCCGCGUGUGUGAAGAAGGCCUUCGGUUGUAAGCACUUUCAGUAGGGAGGAAGGUAGUGUAGUUAACACCUGCAUUAUUUGACGUUACCUACAGAAGAAGCACCGGCUAACUCCGUGCCAGCAGCCGCGGUAAUACGGAGGGUGCGAGCGUUAAUCGGAAUUACUGGGCGUAAAGCGCAUGCAGGCGGCCUGUUAAGUCAGAUGUGAAAGCCCGGGGCUUAACCUCGGAAUUGCAUUUGAAACUGGCAGGCUAGAGUCUUGUAGAGGGGGUAGAAUUUCAGGUGUAGCGGUGAAAUGCGUAGAGAUCUGAAGGAAUACCAGUGGCGAAGGCGGCCCCCUGGACAAAGACUGACGCUCAGAUGCGAAAGCGUGGGGAGCAAACAGGAUUAGAUACCCUGGUAGCACAGAG